UACGUAGGGGGCAAGCGUUAUCCGGAUUUACUGGGUGUAAAGGGAGCGCAGACGGCAUGGCAAGUCUGAAGUGAAAGCCCGUGGCUUAACCGCGGAACGGCUUUGGAAACUGUCAGGCUGGAGUACUGGAGAGGCAAGCGGAAUUCCUAGUGUAGCGGUGAAAUGCGUAGAUAUUAGGAGGAACACCAGUGGCGAAGGCGGCUUGCUGGACAGAAACUGACGUUGAGGCUCGAAAGCGUGGGGAGCAA
rnacentral:rRNA from 1 species